rnacentral:tRNA from 1 species
UUAGUCAAAACCAAAUUGCGGUGAAUUAUUGUUAAUAAUUUGAUUGGUAAAUUGUAUUACCUGACUAAA